CGGAACGUACCAUUCAGUGGGGGAUAACGUAGCGAAAGUUACGCUAAUACCGCAUAUUCUGUGAGCAGGAAAGCAGGGGAUCGCAAGACCUUGCGCUGAUUGAGCGGCCGAUAUCAGAUUAGCUAGUUGGUGAGGUAAAAGCUCACCAAGGCGACGAUCUGUAGCGGGUCUGAGAGGAUGAUCCGCCACACUGGAACUGAGACACGGUCCAGACUCCCACGGGAGGCAGCAGUGGGGAAUUUUGGACAAUGGGGGCAACCCUGAUCCAGCCAUGCCGCGUGAGUGAAGAAGGCCUUCGGGUUGUAAAGCUCUUUCAGCCGGGAAGAAAAUGUAUGGGUUUAUACCCUGUGCAGAUGACGGUACCGGAAUAAGAAGCACCGGCUAACUACGUGCCAGCAGCCGCGGUAAUACGUAGGGUGCGAGCGUUAAUCGGAAUUACUGGGCGUAAAGCGUGCGCAGGCGGUUUUGUAAGGCAGGCGUGAAAUCCCCGGGCUUAACCUGGGAACUGCGUUUGUGACUGCAAGGCUAGAGUACGGCAGAGGGGGGUGGAAUUCCACGUGUAGCAGUGAAAUGCGUAGAGAUGUGGAGGAACACCAAUGGCGAAGGCAGCCCCCUGGGUCGAUACUGACGCUCAUGCACGAAAGCGUGGGUAGCAAACAGGAUUAGAUACCCUGGUAGUCCACGCCCUAAACGAUGUCAACUAGGUGUUGGGAGGGUAAAACCUUUUAGUACCGUAGCUAACGCGAGAAGUUGACCGCCUGGGGAGUACGGCCGCAAGGUUAAAACUCAAAGGAAUUGACGGGGACCCGCACAAGCGGUGGAUGAUGUGGAUUAAUUCGAUGCAACGCGAAAAACCUUACCUACCCUUGACAUGUCAGGAACUUUCCAGAGAUGGAUUGGUGCCCGAAAGGGAACCUGAACACAGGUGCUGCAUGGCUGUCGUCAGCUCGUGUCGUGAGAUGUUGGGUUAAGUCCCGCAACGAGCGCAACCCUUGUCGUUAAUUGCCAUCAUUUAGUUGGGCACUUUAACGAGACUGCCGGUGACAAACCGGAGGAAGGUGGGGAUGACGUCAAGUCCUCAUGGCCCUUAUGGGUAGGGCUUCACACGUCAUACAAUGGUCGGUACAAAGGGUCGCCAACCCGCGAGGGGGAGCCAAUCCCAUAAAGCCGAUCGUAGUCCGGAUUGCAGGCUGCAACUCGCCUGCAUGAAGUCGGAAUCGCUAGUAAUCGUGGAUCAGCAUGUCACGGUGAAUACGUUCCCGGGUCUUGUACACACCGCCCGUCACACCAUGGGAGCGGGUUCCGCCAGAAGUAGGUAGCCUAACCGCAAGGGGGGCGCUUACCA
rnacentral:rRNA from 1 species